rnacentral:rRNA from 1 species
UACGGAGGGUGCAAGCGUUAUUCGGAAUUACUGGGCGUAAAGCGCACGUAGGUGGCGACGUAAGUCGGGUGUGAAAGCCCCGGGCUCAACCUGGGAAUUGCAUUCGAGACUGCAUUGCUGGAGUACGGAAGAGGAGGGCGGAAUUCCCGGUGUAGCGGUGAAAUGCGUAGAUAUCGGGAGGAACAUCAGUGGCGAAGGCGGCCCUCUGGUCCAGUACUGACACUCAAGUGCGAAAGCGUGGGGAGCAAACAGG